rnacentral:rRNA from 1 species
GAUGAACGCUAGCUACAGGCUUAACACAUGCAAGUCGAGGGGAAACGACAUCGAAAGCUUGCUUUUGAUGGGCGUCGACCGGCGCACGGGUGAGUAACGCGUAUCCAACCUGCCCAUCACUUGGGAAUAACCUUGCGAAAGUAAGACUAAUACCCAAUGAUAUCCCACGAAGGCAUCGGAAUGGGAUUAAAGAUUUAUCGGUGAUGGAUGGGGAUGCGUCUGAUUAGCUUGUUGGCGGGGUAACGGCCCACCAAGGCAACGAUCAGUAGGGGUUCUGAGAGGAAGGUCCCCCACAUUGGAACUGAGACACGGUCCAAACUCCUACGGGAGGCAGCAGUGAGGAAUAUUGGUCAAUGGGCGAGAGCCUGAACCAGCCAAGUAGCGUGCAGGAAGACGGCCCUAUGGGUUGUAAACUGCUUUUAUAAGGGAAUAAAGUGGGUCACGUGUGACUUUCUGCAUGUACCUUAUGAAUAAGGACCGGCUAAUUCCGUG